UAAUGCUAUCAAGACUACAGCAAAUACUCCAAUUGAUGUUAGCUUAACAAAUCCAUAUACUUUAAUGCAGUGUGUACUUUAACAAGGGGACUCCAGUCCCAUAGCCACCACCGAGAUGAUACAUAGAGACGUUACACCACGUAAUAAAGAUUAAAGUACCGAUAUCGCGGCUCAAGGCAUAAACGCUGUCUUACAUCUCCAUUUGAAAAGACGACGUGGUGACUGACUCAGAUUUCACAGGCACUGGAUUCUGGUGAUUUUAACCAGCGCUGAUCACAGAGGAGAAGUAAAGGGAGCUCAUGUUGCCUUGAAUGCUUCUAACACGAAGGCACGCUAAAUGCAUUCGGGCAGUUUGCAGAGAUGUUGUGAGACAACCCGAGACGUGCUCCAUCUUGUCGGCAUUCCGCAAGCCCAGAGAAACACUCCUGGAAAAUUCUUUGGCAAUCACAGAAGCAAGAAACUGGAGUACCUGAAGAAAAUCCAUGCAGGUACUUGGAGAACAUGCAGGAAGGCCAGAGCCCGGAUUUGAACCCGUGACCUGCACUAACCAAUCCACCCAGUACCACCCAGUGAUAUUUAAUAAAUUGUAUAUUUUGAAAAUGGU